rnacentral:rRNA from 1 species
GAGUUUGAUCUUGGCUCAGAAUCAACGCUGGCGGCGUGCCUAACACAUGCAAGUCGCACGAGAAAGUGGAGCAAUCCAUGAGUAAAGUGGCGCACGGGUGAGUAACACGUGAAUGAUCUACCUCCGAGUGGGGAAUAACUGAGAGAAAUCUUAGCUAAUACCGCAUAAUACCCACGGGUCAAAGCAGCAAUGCGCUUGGAGAGGAGUUCGCGGCCGAUUAGUUAGUUGGCGGGGUAAUGGCCCACCAAGACGAUGAUCGGUAUCCGGCCUGAGAGGGCGCACGGACACACUGGAACUGAAACACGGUCAGACUCCUACGGAGGCAGCAGUGGGAAUUUUGCGCAAUGGGGGAAACCCUGACGCAGCAACGCCGCGUGGAGGAUGAAGCCCCUUGGGGUGUAAACGUCCUUUCGAUCGGGAAGAUAAUGACGUACCGAUAUAAGAAGCCCGCUAACUUCGUGCCAGCAGCCGCCGUAAC